rnacentral:rRNA from 1 species
GUUGGCAACUUUAGCGAAGGGGGUACACCCGUUCUCAUUUCGAACACGGAAGUUAAGCCCUUCAGCGCCGAAGAUAAUGUAUUGGCAACAAUAUGUGAAAAUAGGUCGUUACCAACU